AAUGAAACCAGCAACAUUGCAGGCGUGACUGCUGUUCACACUGGGUCAAUAGGUGGCAGAGAAAAGAGAGGUUAUGUUUAUGCUCGGUGUUCUGACCUGUGAACACUUGAAUGAUUAGUAGUCUAACAUU